rnacentral:rRNA from 1 species
UACGUAUGGAGCAAGCGUUAUCCGGAUUUACUGGGUGUAAAGGGAGCGCAGGCGGCUUUGCAAGUCUGAUGUGAAAGGCCGGGGCUCAACCCCGGGACUGCAUUGGAAACUGUAAAGCUAGAGUGCCGGAGAGGUAAGCGGAAUUCCUAGUGUAGCGGUGAAAUGCGUAAAUAUUAGGAGGAACACCAGUGGCGAAGGCGGCUUACUGGACGGCAACUGACGCUGAGGCUCGAAAGCGUGGGGAGCAAACAGG